GCCAGUAUAGCUCAGCUGGUAGAGCAGCGCACUCGUAACGCGAAGGUCGUAGGUUCAAGUCCAUUACUGGCACCA
rnacentral:tRNA from 1 species